UUAAAGAGAGGCAGUCUGGAACUCUAGUUCAAGUGAUUUGCCAGGUCGGCCACCCAAAAUGCUGGGAUAACAGGAAUAAGCCACUGUGCACGGUCUGAGAUACAAAUAUGAUUGAAAGGGAUGAUCAAACAGGCUGCUGCCUUCAUCUGGGUGUAACCAAUGUAAGAUGUAAGAAAGAUGUUAAAUCACGGGGAGAAAACACAACACAACAAAAAAGAAACCAUUAACAGAGAAAAACACAACACAACACAAAGGAACCA
rnacentral:lncRNA from 10 species